rnacentral:rRNA from 1 species
CAGGUGGUCAGGUAGAGAAUACCAAGGCGCUUGAGAGAACUCGGGUGAAGGAACUAGGCAAAAUGGUGCCGUAACUUCGGGAGAAGGCACGCUGAUAUGUAGGUGAAGUCCCUCGCGGAUGGAGCUGAAAUCAGUCGAAGAUACCAGCUGGCUGCAACUGUUUAUUAAAAACACAGCACUGUGCAAACACGAAAGUGGACGUAUACGGUGUGACGCCUGCCCGGUGCCGGAAGGUUAAUUGAUGGGGUUAGCGGUAACGCGAAGCUCUUGAUCGAAGCCCCGGUAAACGGCGGCCGUAACUAUAACGGUCCUAAGGUAGCGAAAUUCCUUGUCGGGUAAGUUCCGACCUGCACGAAUGGCGUAAUGAUGGCCAGGCUGUCUCCACCCGAGACUCAGUGAAAUUGAACUCGCUGUGAAGAUGCAGUGUACCCGCGGCAAGACGGAAAGACCCCGUGAACCUUUACUAUAGCUUGACACUGAACAUUGAGCCUUGAUGUGUAGGAUAGGUGGGAGGCUUUGAAGUGUGGACGCCAGUCUGCAUGGAGCCGGCCUUGAAAUACCACCCUUUAAUGUUUGAUGUUCUAACGUUGGCCCCUGAUCGGGGUUGCGGACAGUGUCUGGUGGGUAGUUUGACUGGGGCGGUCUCCUCCUAAAGAGUAACGGAGGAGCACGAAGGUUGGCUAAUCCUGGUCGGACAUCAGGAGGUUAGUGCAAUGGCAUAAGCCAGCUUGACUGCGAGCGUGACGGCGCGAGCAGGUGCGAAAGCAGGUCAUAGUGAUCCGGUGGUUCUGAAUGGAAGGGCCAUCGCUCAACGGAUAAAAGGUACUCCGGGGAUAACAGGCUGAUACCGCCCAAGAGUUCAUAUCGACGGCGGUGUUUGGCACCUCGAUGUCGGCUCAUCACAUCCUGGGGCUGAAGUAGGUCCCAAGGGUAUGGCUGUUCGCCAUUUAAAGUGGUACGCGAGCUGGGUUUAGAACGUCGUGAGACAGUUCGGUCCCUAUCUGCCGUGGGCGCUGGAGAACUGAGGGGGGCUGCUCCUAGUACGAGAGGACCGGAGUGGACGCAUCACUGGUGUUCGGGUUGUCAUGCCAAUGGCACUGCCCGGUAGCUAAAUGCGGAAGAGAUAAGUGCUGAAAGCAUCUAAGCACGAAACUUGCCCCGAGAUGAGUUCUCCCUGACUCCUUGAGAGUCCUGAAGGAACGUUGAAGACGACGACGUUGAUAGGCCGGGUGUGUAAGCGCAGCGAUGCGUUGAGCUAACCGGUACUAAUGAACCGUGAGGCUUAACCUU